AGCAGCCGCGGUAAUUCCAGCUCCAAUAGCGUAUAUUAAAGUUGCUGCAGUUAAAAAGCUCGUAGUUGAAUUUCGGGAUCAAUAUGUCGGUCGUGCCUCGGUACGUACUGGCAUCGUUGGUUUCUCCUUUCUGAAGAACCAUGAUGUCAUUUAUUUGGUGUCGUGGGAAAUCAGGACUGUUACUUUGAAAAAAUUAGAGUGUUUAAAGCAGGCUCACGCUUGAAUACAUUAGCAUGGAAUAAUGAAAUAGGACGUUUGAUUCUAUUUUGUUGGUUUCUAGGAUCGACGUAAUGAUUAAUAGGGAUAGUUGGGGGCAUUAGUAUUCAAUUGUCAGAGGUGAAAUUCUUGGAUUUAUUGAAGACUAACUACUGCGAAAGCAUUUGCCAAGGAUGUUUUCAUUAAUCAAGAACGAAAGUUAGGGGAUCGAAGACGAUCAGAUACCGUCGUAGU
rnacentral:rRNA from 1 species